AAUGGGGGAAACCCUGACGCAGCGACGCCGCGUGGGUGAAGAAGGCCUUCGGGUUGUAAAGCCCUGUCACGAGGGAAAAACGGUAUGCUGAAGAAGUAUACGUGAUGGUACCUUGGGAGGAAGCACCGGCUAACUCUGUGCCAGCAGCCGCGGUAAUACAGAGGGUGCAAGCGUUGUUCGGAAUCAUUGGGCGUAAAGGGCAGGUAGGUGGUUUUAUAAGUUUACUGUGAAAUCCCUGGGCUCAACCCAGGAAGUGCGGUGAAUACUGUAGAACUAGAGUGCUGGAGGGGUUCGUGGAAUUCUCGGUGUAGCGGUGAAAUGCGUAGAUAUCGAGAGGAAUAUCAGAGGCGAAAGCGACGGACUAGACAGCAACUGACACUCAGCUGCGAAAGCGUGGGGAGCAAA
rnacentral:rRNA from 1 species